GCAGUCGUGGCCGAGUGGUUAAGGUGACGGACUAGAAAUCCGUUGGUGUCUCCCUGCACAGGUUCGAAUCCUGCGGACUGCG
rfam:Ixodes scapularis strain Wikel colony gcontig_1108379060202, whole genome shotgun sequence.